rnacentral:rRNA from 1 species
AGAGUUUGAUCAUGGCUCAGGACGAACGCUGGCGGCGUGCUUAACACAUGCAAGUGGUGCGACGAACCAGGGCUUGCCCUGGGGCAAAGCCGCGAACGGGUGAGUAACACGUGAGUAACCUGCCCCGAUGACCGGGACAACCCGAGGAAACUCGGGCUAAUACCGGAUGUGGUGUACGGAUUUAAGUCUGUGCACUAAAGGAAGCUUCGGCCUCCGCAUUGGGAGGGGCUCGCGGCCCAUUAGCUUGUUGGUGGGGUAACGGCCUACCAAGGCAACGAUGGGUAGCUGGUCUGAGAGGACGAUCAGCCACACUGGGACUGAGACACGGCCCAGGCUCCUACGGGAGGCAGCAGUGGGGAAUCUUGCGCAAUGCGCGAAAGCGUGACGCAGCAACGCCGCGUGGGGGAAGACGGCCUUCGGGUUGUAAACCCCUUUCAGGAGGGACGAAGGUUCACCGGUGAAUAGCCGUGUGGAUUGACGGUACCUCCAGAAGAAGCUCCGGCUAACUACGUGCCAGCAGCCGCGGUAAUACGUAGGGAGCAAGCGUUGUCCGGAAUCAUUGGGCGUAAAGCGCGCGUAGGCGGCCCUGUAAGUCCGUUGUGAAAGUCAAAGGCUCAACCUUUGAAAGCCGAUGGAUACUGCAGGGCUAGAGUCCGGAAGAGGCGAGUGGAAUUCCUGGUGUAGCGGUGGAAUGCGCAGAUAUCAGGAGGAACACCAAUAGCGAAGGCAGCUCGCUGGGACGGUACUGACGCUAAGGCGCGAAAGCGUGGGGAGCGAACAGGAUUAGAUACCCUAGUAGUCC